rnacentral:pre_miRNA from 1 species
GAACUUCUGUAGGCUGGCUGGCCCCCAGGCUGAGCUGGACAAGUAUCUCUUCAAAAAGCUCACUCUCAUGCAAGACUAGGAGC